AUUGAACGCUGGCGGCAGGCCUAACACAUGCAAGUCGAACGAGUGGCGGACGGGUGAGUAAUGUCUGGGAAACUGCCUGAUGGAGGGGGAUAACUACUGGAAACGGUAGCUAAUACCGCAUACCAUCGGAUGUGCCCAGAUGUGAUUAGCUAGUAGGUGGGGUCAAGGCUCACCUAGGCGACGAUCCCUAGCUGGUCUGAGAGGAUAACGAGAAACACGGAAAGUGAGACACGGGCCAGACUCCUACGGGUGGCAGGAGUGGGGAAGAUUGGACGAUGGGCGAAAGACUGAUGCAGCCAUGCCGGGUGUAUGAAGAAGGCCGUCAGGUUGUAAAGUACUUUCAGCGGGGAGGCGUUACCCGAAGAAGAAGCAACGACUAACUCCGUGCCAGCAGCCGCGGUAAUAC
rnacentral:rRNA from 1 species